rnacentral:rRNA from 1 species
UAGGGAAUCUUCGGCAAUGGACGAAAGUCUGACCGAGCAACGCCGCGUGAGUGAAGAAGGUUUUCGGAUCGUAAAACUCUGUUGGUAGAGAAGAACGUUGGUGAGAGUGGAAAGCUCAUUAAGUGACGGUAACUACCCAGAAAGGGACGGCUAACUACGUGCCAG